rnacentral:rRNA from 1 species
UACGUAGGGGGCGAGCGUUGUCCGGAUUUAUUGGGCGUAAAGAGCGUGUAGGCGGCCAGGUAGGUCUGCUGUGAAAACUCGAGGCUCAACCUCGAGACGUCGGCGGAAACCAUCUAGCUAGAGUCCGGAAGAGGAGAGUGGAAUUCCUGGUGUAGCGGUGAAAUGCGCAGAUAUCAGGAAGAACACCCGUGGCGAAGGCGGCUCUCUGGGACGGUACUGACGCUGAGACGCGAAAGCGUGGGGAGCGAACAGG